CAAGACUGGAGGUCCAAUGACAGAGAUCUUUUCCUCACUGGCUCUGUGGCCAGGAAUGAGCCCUUUGGCCUCUUUGAACCUCCAUUUCCUCACCUGCAAAAGAGUCACGUUGAGAGGAUCCACCUCCUAGUGCUGUUACCAGGAUCGAAUGAGAAAGGCAUGUGAAAAGCUUCUGUGAACUAUCAGCUGGUGUGUUCAUCUCAUUCUGAGAAUCAGGCUGAAGGAACAACCUCUAUCUGGAACAUGCUUUACAUAUCAGAAGGAGAAGAAAGAAAGCAGGGAAAGAAAACAGGCAUCAUGAUGGCAACUAAAGGGUGAUGAGCUUGUUUCCCACUUCACUGGAAAACAAAAUGGGAAUAUUCAGAAGAUAAGUUCCACAGCUCCCAUAGCAUCUUCCUAUCUACCAGGAUUUGGACCUUCUACACCCUGCUCCCAUUAAGGAAUUAGCCUUGCUCUUGUCCAAAACUAGCCUUUGCGUAUGCCUUAGAUCCUAUCCCCCUUGCUUGCUCACAGGCUUUGCUCCAGCAAUUCUCCCUAUUUUUCCCCUAUACCAUCAGCUUCCUCUCUCUACUAGGUCAUUUCCACCAGCACACAACAAUACUGUCUCUCUCAUCUUAGAAAUGGAAACUAACAAAAUUGAGUUCACUUUUCCUUCUGACACUAUCCCUUUUCUACCUCCCCCACUUUACAGCAAAACUCUUUGAAAGCUGCCUGAAUUUCACUGCUUCCAUUUCCUCUCCUCUUCUCACUUAAACCUACUGCUGCCAGAACCGGGACUCCACCACCUCACCAGACCCCUGCUUGUCAAUAUCAUCAAUGACUUCCAUCUUGCUAAAUCCAUUUCUUGUCCCCAUUGAACUUGACCCUCAGUAACACCUUGUCAAAUUAACCACUCCCUUCUCAUGGAAAUGAUUUCUUGUUUUCUAAGACACUACACAUUUCGUUUUCCUUCAACACCCCUGGAUGCUGCUUCCCAGUCUUGUCCCUUAACCUCCUAGCACUGAAGUGAUGCAGGGCUCAGUCCACAGAUCUCUUCAUCUUUCCUGUUCACUCCAUACUCACCCUCUUGGUAAUUCCCUUCCAGUUUCAUCGUUUAAAUGGCAUCUGUCUGCAAAUGAUUAUCAAAUGUAUGCCUCCAGCCAUGGCCACUGCUCUCAACGUUAGCUUAUCCAUCUAACUGUCAACUCUGUAUCUCUACCUGGACGCCUGAUGGAGGUCUCCAAUGUACCAUGCCCUAAACUGAAAUUUUGAUCUUCUUUAUCCACAGAAUCUGCUCGACCCUAUCUCAGUUAAAGGUAUCUAUGCCCUGGUCUAGAAGGCCUUCAGUAAUUAGAAAGCAUGUAUUUUGUGUGUAUGCCUUGAUAAGUGUUGACUGUAGCUAUAGCAAGGGAUAAUUCAUCAUCAGGAAAUGGUCAGGAGAGUGUCUCCAAAUCUUUUAAGCAUGCGCUAACCUUCAUAUAUAGGGUCCUUGUAUUACCUUUUCUCAAGUUGUACUAUAAUGUCCCGACCUUCAAAAGACCUUAUCCUUGUACAUUUGAGGACUCUUAUCUUUCCUAAUUAAAGUCAGAUGGUUGUCUUGUGGGUUUUCUUCUUCCUUUCUCUUUUGUGAGCUGCCUCUUAACAGCUGUGGUGUGUUGCUAGUGAAUUAUCAGUGGACAG
rnacentral:lncRNA from 10 species